GAUGGAGAGGUAACGGCUCACCAUGGCUACGAUGUUUAGGGGAACUGAGAGGUUGACCCCCCACACUGGAACUGAGACACGGUCCAGACUCCUACGGGAGGCAGCAGUGAGGAAUAUUGGACAAUGGAUGGAAAUCUGAUCCAGCCAUGCCGCGUGCAGGAAGAAGGUCCUAUGGAUUGUAAACUGCUUUAGUGCGGGAGCAAUAAGGUCCACGAGUGGACCGAUGAGAGUACCGCAAGAAUAAGCAUCGGCUAACUCCGUGCCAGCAGCCGCGGUAAUACGGGGGAUGCAAGCGUUAUCCGGAUUUAUUGGGUUUAAAGGGUGCGUAGGCGGUCCGUCAAGUCGGCGGUGAAAACAGCAUGCUAAACAUGGUGCUUGCCGUCGAGACUGGUGGGCUUGAAUGUGGAUGAUGCCGGCGGAAUGUGUAAAGUAGCGGUGAAAUGCAUAGAUAUUACACAGAAGGUCGAUUGCGAAAGCAGCUGGCAAAGGCACUAUUGACGCUGAGGCACGAAAGUGCGGGGAUCGAACAGGAUUAGAUACCCUGGUAGUCCGCACAGUAAACGAUGAUAACUAACUGUCGGCGAUACACAGUCGGUGGUAAAGAGA
rnacentral:rRNA from 1 species